GAGUUUGAUCCUGGCUCAGGAUGAACGCUGGCGGCGUGCUUAACACAUGCAAGUCGAACGGGGCCACCAUUUUUGAAGCGAUUAGCUUGCUAAGAGUGGAAAUGUUGGCGGCUUAGUGGCGGACGGGUGAGUAACGCGUGGGUAACCUGCCAUAUACAGGGGGAUAACACUUAGAAAUAGGUGCUAAUACCGCAUAAGCGCACGGAGCUGCAUGGCUCAGUGUGAAAAACUCCGGUGGUAUAUGAUGGACCCGCGUCUGAUUAGCUUGUUGGCGGGGUAACGGCCCACCAAGGCGACGAUCAGUAGCCGGCCUGAGAGGGUGGACGGCCACAUUGGGACUGAGACACGGUCCAAACUCCUACGGGAGGCAGCAGUGGGGAAUAUUGCACAAUGGGGGAAACCCUGAUGCAGCGACGCCGCGUGAGUGAAGAAGUAUUUCGGUAUGUAAAGCUCUGUCAGCAGGGAAGAAAAUGACGGUACCUGACCAAGAAGCCCCGGCUAACUACGUGCCAGCAGCCGCGGUAAUACGUAGGGGGCAAGCGUUAUCCGGAUUUACUGGGUGUAAAGGGAGCGUAGACGGCAGGGCAAGUCUGGAGUGAAAGGCGGGGGCUCAACCCCCGGACUGCUCUGGAAACUGC
rnacentral:rRNA from 1 species